rnacentral:lncRNA from 1 species
AUAGAAAUUAUAAAAUUUAUAACUAAUCAACUGUUUGACAAUAUAUUAGACUAUAGCUAAACAAUUAAAUUCAGACCUAAGAAUAAGCCCUUCACAGACUAUCCACCAUUGAGAGCAACGCACUAUAAGGUGAAUCGCUACCGACGUCCUCCGAAAACCUAAUCACAACCGCUGUGAGAGAUUACUCAGAUUAGGAUUUCGUAGAGGAGAGAG